rnacentral:rRNA from 1 species
UACGUAGGGUGCGGGCGUGUCCGGAAUUAUUGGGCGUAAAGAGCUCGUAGGCGGUUUGUUGCGUCUAUCGUGAAAACCUGCAGCUUAACUGUGGGCUUGCGGUGGAUACGGGCAGACUUGAGUUCGGUAGGGGAGACUGGAAUUCCUGGUGUAGCGGUGAAAUGCGCAGAUAUCAGGAGGAACACCGGUGGCGAAGGCGGAUCUCUGGGCCUGUUCUGACGCUGAGGCGCGAAAGCGUGGGGGAGCAAACAGG